rnacentral:rRNA from 1 species
UACAUGGGGUGCAAACGUUGCUCGGAAUUAUUGGGCGUAAAGCGCACGUAGGCGGUUUGUUAAGUCGGAUGCGAAAUCCCUCGGCUCAACUGAGGAAGUGCACCCGAAACUGGCAAGCUUGAGUACUAAGGAGGGUCGCGGAAUUCCCGGUGUAGAGGUGAAAUUCGUAGAUAUCGGGAGGAACACCGAUGGCGAAGGCAGGUCUCUGGGCUAUAACUGACGCUCAUGCACGAAAGCGUGGGGAGCAAACAGG